AUCGUUUCUUAUCUACCUCAGAGGUAUGUGAACUCAACUUGCAGAUUGUCUUAGUGAAACAGAAAAGGAGUUGUUUUAAUGUUUCAGUAAGAGUGGUCAUGCCAUCCCAAUGAUAUGAGCUUUGAUUCUAGAUUAGAGGUCUUAGGUUCUAAUCUCAAUGUAAUUUGGGAAAGAGAGUAUCAUUUAGGGGUGUAAAUGUGUUUUGUCGAGCUAAACCAGACUUUGAGAAACUCAGGCUCGGCUCAUUAGAUUUUCACUAAGCUUGAGCUCAGCAAUUUAGAUUUUAUUAGGCAUGUAGCUCAUUUAUCAAGCUUGUAAGCUUGAGCUUGACUCAUCAAGUUUAUUUAGCCAAAUUACUAAAAAGAUUAUUUUUAUUAAUUAUUAUCUAAAACUUAUUUAAUAAUAGAUCCAAUAAACCAUAAUAAUUAAAUUAAUAAUUGUAAUGACUCUGAAAUUCUGACCCGGAGAGUGUUAAAAAUUGUUGGCAUGGUUCGAUUAUUGAGCUCAGGGUUGCCUCUACCAAAAUGACUUA
rnacentral:misc_RNA from 1 species